rnacentral:misc_RNA from 1 species
AAUCUUUCAAUCAAAAUAAAAUAAAAAAAAAAGAAAGAAAAGAAUUUAUCUUUAAGAAAAAUUUAACAAGAAAAAACUUGAUUGAAAAAUUAGAGAUGAAAUUAAAUUUUUUUUAAAGAAAUUAAAAAAAGAUGCAUGAACUUAAUUUUGCUCAUGAAAUUUAGAGGAAUCAAAGUUUGCAGUUCUAUUGCUUGCCUUUUCCUAAAAAUUGUAUGAUAAUUUGAUA